rnacentral:rRNA from 1 species
AUACGGAGGAUGCGAGCGUUAUCCGGAUUUAUUGGGUUUAAAGGGAGCGCAGGCGGAGAUGCAGGCGUGACGUCAAAUUUCGGGGCUCAACCCCGUCUCGCGUCGCGAACUGCGUCCCUUGGUUGCGGGAAGGGGAGGCGGAACUCGUGGUGUAGCGGUGAAAUGCAUAGAUAUCACGAAGAACUCCGAUCGCGAAGGCAGCCUUCCGGCCCGUCAACGACGCUCAUGCUCGAAGGUGCGGGUAUCAAACAGGAUUAGAUACCCUGGUAGUCCGCACAGUAAACGAUGGACACCCGCGGUUUGGCCUGUAUGGCUGAGCCGCCAAGCGAAAGCGUUAAGUGUCCCACCUGGGGAGUACGCCGGCAACGGUGAAACUCAAAUGAAUUGGCGGGG